GACGAACGCUGGCGGCGUGCUUAACACAUGCAAGUCGAACGAUGAAGCAAAGAAUUGAAGCUUCGGCAGAAAUUCAUUUCGGAUUAGUGGCAGACGGGUGAGUAACGCGUGAGCAACCUACCUCUUACAAAGGGAUAGCCUCGGGAAACCGGGAUUAAUACCAUAUAACAUUGCGACGAAGCAUUUCGAUGCAAUCAAAGCUACGGCGGUAAGAGAUGGGCUCGCGUCCCAUUAACCAGAUGGUGAGGUAACGGCUCACCAUAGCAACGAUGGGUAACCGGGCUGAGAGGGUGAACGGUCACACUGGAAAUGAGACACGGUCCAGACUCCUACGGGAGGCAGCAGUGGGGAAUAUUGCACAAUGGAGGGAACUCUGAUGCAGCGACGCCGCGUGAGUGAUGAAGGAAUUCGUUUCGUAAAACUCUGUUCUAUGGGAAGAAAAGGACUGUACCAUAGGAGAAAGCUCCGGCUAAAUACGUG
rnacentral:rRNA from 1 species